rnacentral:rRNA from 1 species
GACGAACGCUGGCGGCGUGCCUAAUACAUGCAAGUCGAGCGGACUGAUUAAGAGCUUGCUCUUAUGACGUUAGCGGCGGACGGGUGAGUAACACGUGGGCAACCUGCCCUGUAGAUCGGGAUAACACCGAGAAAUCGGUGCUAAUACCGGGUAAUAUCUGAGAUCACAUGAUCUUAGGUUAAAAGAUGGCUCCGGCUAUCACUACAGGAUGGGCCCGCGGCGCAUUAGCUAGUUGGUAAGGUAAUGGCUUACCAAGGCGACGAUGCGUAGCCGACCUGAGAGGGGGAUCGGCCACACUGGGACUGAGACACGGCCCAGACUCCUACGGGAGGCAGCAGUAGGGAAUCUUCCGCAAUGGACGAAAGUCUGACGGAGCAACGCCGCGUGAGUGAUGAAGGGGUUCGGCUCGUAAAGCUCUGUUGUUAGGGAAGAAACAGUACCGAACGAACUAGGUCGGUACCUUGACGGUACCUAACCAGAAAGCCACGGCUAACUACGUG